AUUGAACGCUGGCGGCAGGCCUAACACAUGCAAGUCGAGCGGAGCGGCGGACGGGUGAGUAAUUCCUAGGAAUCUGCCUGGUAGUGGGGGAUAACGUCCGGAAACGGGCGCUAAUCUCGCAUACUAUCAGAUGAGCCUCUGUCGGAUUGGCUAGUUGGUGGGGUAAAGGCCUACCAAGGCGCCUAUCCGUAACUGGUCUGCGAGGAUGAUCAGUCCCACUGAAACUGAGACACGGUCCAGACUCCUACGGGAGGCAGCAGUGGGGAAUAUUGGACAAUGGGCUAAAGCCUGAUCCAGCCAUGCCGGGUGUGUGAAGAAGGUCUUCGGAUUGUAAAGCACUUUAAGUUGGGAGGCGUUACCAACAGAAUAAGCACCGGCUAACUUCGUGCCAGCAGCCGCGGUAAUAC
rnacentral:rRNA from 1 species